rnacentral:rRNA from 1 species
GAUGAACGCUAGCGGCAGGCCUAAUACAUGCAAGUCGGACGGGAUUCAGGAGCUUGCUUCUGAUGAGAGUGGCGCACGGGUGCGUAACACGUAUGUAACCUACCUUUAUCAGGGGGAUAGCCUCUCGAAAGAGAGAUUAAGCCCGCAUAAAAUCACAGCACAGCAUUGUGUAAUGAUCAAAUAUUUAUAGGAUAAAGAUGGGCAUGCGGAACAUUAGCUAGAUGGCGGGGUAACGGCCCACCAUGGCGACGAUGUUUAGGGGAUCUGAGAGGAUGGCCCCCCACACUGGUACUGAGACACGGACCAGACCCCUACGGGAGGCAGCAGUAAGGAAUAUUGGUCAAUGGGCGGAAGCCUGAACCAGCCAUGCCGCGUGCAGGAAGACGGCCCUACGGGUUGUAAACUGCUUUUAUACGGGAAUAAACCCAGAUACGUGUAUCUGGCUGAAUGUACUGUAAGAAUAAGGAUCGGCUAACUCCGUG